rnacentral:lncRNA from 1 species
AGCUUCAAGCUCCUUCGAAAGGUGUAGAAUUGAGUUCAUAGGGUUUGGGAGGACUUUGACAAUCGUUGCUGAAAGUCAGUGUUUGUAUUGGUGAAAUGGAUUUUUUUUUGCAAUAAAAUUAAGGCUGAUACUCUUGACUGUUUUGUGAAAUUGGAGAAACUUCUACAGUUGAAAUUUAGAGGUAUCUAGAGGGUUGAGUAUGCAGAGUGCAUGAAAAAAGUUGUGUUAAUCUAAUAGAAUAGAUAGAGGAUAUUUGACCAUUAAUGUAAAGAGGUAUCGGAAGUUAGUAGAUUGAGGUUGUUUAGGAUUUCAAUAAUAUCUGAAGAUCUACUAGUUGGAAUAAGGUGACUUUUGGCAUGGUAAGUCGAGGAUUUCUAGGCGGCGAUCAAGAUACAUCAAUGUGGAUUAACGGCAUUUUCUUGCAACUUGUAAGUUAGAUUGGAUUGAAACUUCUUAAGCAUUUGGAAGGCUUGCAACAACACUAGUGGUAGAAGUUUACAACCAUCGGACAGUCAUAUUCAGAAUUAUAGCUUGCCGAAGCUCGCUGUCUAGGAUUAGGGUUAAAAAUAAAAAAUAAAAUAAAAUAAAAAUAAAAAUAAAACUAACAAAUAACAAAAGACUUUGUGCUUAUAAUAUCUUGAAGUUAUUAAAAUAGUAUUUCUAAGAAUUUUUUAAU